AUGAAAUCUUUUGAGAGACUGGUGUUGAGCCACCUGAAGGACAUUAUAGGUCCCCUGCUGGGCCCCCUGCAGUUUGCCUACAGGGCAAACAGGUCGGCGGAUGAUGCUGUCAACAUGGGACUGCAAUACAUACUGCACCACCUCGACUACCCAGGGACGUAUGCCAGGAUCCUGUUUGUAGACUUCAGCUCGGUGUUCAACACCAUCGUCCCUGAAAUCUUACAUCAGAAGCUCACCCAGUUCGAAGUGCCUGUCACCACCUGUCAGUGGAUCAUCAGCUUCCUGAUUGACAGGCAGCAGCAUGUCAGACUGGGGAGCAUCUCUUCCAAAACCCGGUCCAUCAGCACUGGCGCCCCACAGGGGUGUGUCCUCUCCCCGCUGCUCUUCUCCAUAUACACCAAUGACUGCACCUCAAAGAACCCGUCCGUAAAACUCCUGAAGUUUGCAGAUGACACCACCGUCAUUGGUUUGAUCCAGGAUGGUGAUGAGUCUGCUUACAGACAGGAGGUGGAACAGCUGGUCCAAUGGUGCAGUCAGCACCACCUGGUGUUAAACCAUAACAAGACUGUGGAGAUGACAGUGGACUUUUGGAGAAGUCCCCCCCCACUCCCCCCCCUCACCAUCCAGAACGACACAGUGUCCACUGUCGAUUCCUUUAGGUUCCUAGGUACAACCAUUUCACAAGACCUAAAAUGGUGUCCCCACAUUUACUCUGUCCAAAAAAAGGCCCAGCAGAGGUUAUACUUCCUGCGACAACUAAGGAAGUUUAAUCUGCCUAAAGAGCUGCUGACCACCUUCUACUCAGCCAUCAUCCAGUCUGUCAUCUGCACCUCGAUCACUGUCUGGUUUGGGUCAGCCACCAAACGGGACAGGGCCAGACUGCAACGGACAAUACGGGCUGCGGAGAAGAUCAUUGCAGCUGACCUUCCCACCAUUGAGGACCUGUACCAGUCCAGGGUCAGGAAAAGGGCAACAAGAAUACAUGCGGUUUACAUGCGGUGA
rnacentral:lncRNA from 1 species